rnacentral:lncRNA from 1 species
CAGGGGUCUUCCCUUUGCCAGCCAUGUACCAUUUCUCCAUCAUGAUUUGGUGGGGAGCAGAGACGAGGAGACUCAACACAGAGAAAAAGAGAGAGGCUCUGUAAUCAAGGGGGAAAGCAAAGAGAAAAAGAGCUUUGCCUGGCAGAAGAAGAAAGUGCUGGAGGAUGUGUUCUUCCGAGCCGGGAGGAGGCUGGUGAGAAACAGGAGACGAUGGUUAACGAGGGCUAUGUCAGUGCCACGUGCUUUAGGGGGUUUCACGCUCACGACCCUAGGAGGUCAACUAGGAAACCGAGGCAGAGAGGCUGGAACCUAUUUUUCUGUCCAGUUCCCUUGCCCUCCCUGAACCCUAUGCUGAGGGAGAGGCUUUCAAAAGUAGCCCAGAAACCCCCUGGCCACGGUCUGUCUAUGUUGUUCUCAGAUGGCUAGAAUGCAGCAGUCCCCAAACUUUUUUUUUUUUUUUUUUUUUUGCCCCCAAAGGAAACAUCAUAAAGCUGGGCCCAGUGGAGCCUCAAAGUGGCUCCGCCUCUGCCCACCCCAGCCUCCUGGAGAACCCAGGCUGCCCAGGACACGGGACCUACCCGCCCCCCACCCUGUUCCUCCUGAUCUUUGCGGGGCUUCCAGCUUCAGGCAAGGGAUCUCCUACCAACACCUGUGUGUGAAAACUCACCUUCCUAAAAGCCAAAGUAGAGCUGCAGAAACAGCCCCGGCAGCGCACCCACGGUGAGGACAGAGGGAAGGAGGGCUGCACCCACCGCCCUGGGUCCUAACACCACCAGGGCUCCCGGGCCUCUGGGCCAGCGCGGCUGACACAUGCCGCACGGCACCGUCCCUUCCCCGCUUUCAAAUGCUGUGUCAAGUUAGCCGCCGAGCGUGGAAGCAGAAAGUGACACCGGCAGGCGCCUCCAUGACUAAGCCCAGCCCAAACCACCACCCCGCUGGGGAGAUAAACCAAAGGCACAGGGUCCCCGACAGCGCGAGUGAAACCACAUAUGUUCUGUCAGCCUCGGCCCCGGAGCAAAAAGCACUUGCACACCGGAUUCGGGCGCGGCGGAGGCUGCGGAUCCCAGGGGACCCGGAGAAUGUGACGCUCAGGGCUUCGGAGAGACCACCUUUGGCUGGCCUGCGGCUUGCUUUCUUGGGGUCUGGACUGAGUGACAGCUACAGUUAAAAGGAAAUUAAGGGAGGAUUUCUGCCUUUGUGGUUCAAUACUUGGAAGAAGUGCGUGGCCUGUGUGAACCUCCUGCCAAUUCGUCUGCCUUUUUCCUGCUCCCGGCGGGAAUUAGCAGCAACGGGACAGCUAGGGAAGCACCGUUUACUCCAGGUCAAAAGGCCUUGGGUCCUCAUCUGAAUAAAGCUGGUUAUUUUUAAAGAUUGAGGGUAAGG